rnacentral:rRNA from 1 species
UGUAGUCUGCAACUCGACUACAUGAAGCUGGAAUCGCUGUAAUCGCAGAUCAGAAUGCUGCGGUGAAUACGUUCCCGGGUCUUGUACACACCGCCCGUCACACCAUGGGAGUCGGAAAUGCCCGAAGCCGGUGACCAAACCAAUAAGGAAGGAGCCGUCGAAGGCAGGUCUGAUAACUGGGGUGAAGUCGUAACAAGGUAGC